rnacentral:rRNA from 1 species
CCUACGGGGCGCAGCAGUGGGGGAUAUUGGACAAUGGGGGAAACCCUGAUCCAGCGACGCCGCGUGAGUGAAGAAGUAUUUCGGUAUGUAAAGCUCUGUCAGCAGGGAAGAAAGAAAUGACGGUACCUGACCAAGAAGCCCCGGCUAACUACGUGCCAGCAGCCGCGGUAAUACGUAGGGGGCAAGCGUUAUCCGGAAUUACUGGGUGUAAAGGGAGCGUAGACGGUGAUGCAAGUCUGGAGUGAAAGGCGGGGGCCCAACCCCCGGACUGCUCUGGAAACUGUGUAACUUGAGUGCAGGAGAGG